rnacentral:rRNA from 1 species
GAUGAGGGGUGAUAACGAGGCUGCUUGCAGCCGAAGUGAGUGAUACCCUGCUUCCAGGAAAAGCCACUAAGCUUCAGCUACACACGACCGUACCGCAAACCGACACUGGUGCGCGAGAUGAGUAUUCUAAGGCGCUUGAGAGAACUCAGGAGAAGGAACUCGGCAAAUUGACACCGUAACUUCGGAAGAAGGUGUGCCUUUAGUAGGUGAAGUCCCUCGCGGAUGGAGCCCAAUGAGGUUGCAAAAAAUCGGUGGCUGCGACUGUUUAUUAAAAACACAGCACUCUGCAAACACGAAAGUGGACGUAUAGGGUGUGACGCCUGCCCGGUGCUGGAAGAUUAAAUGAUGGGGUGCAAGCUCUUGAUUGAAGUCCCAGUAAACGGCGGCCGUAACGAUAACGGUCCUAAGGUAGCGAAAUUCCUUGUCGGGUAAGUUCCGACCUGCACGAAUGGCGUAACGAUGGCCACACUGUCUCCUCCUGAGACUCAGCGAAGUUGAAAUGUUUGUGAUGAUGCAAUCUCCCCGCGGAAAGACGGAAAGACCCCAUGAACCUUUACUGUAGCUUUGUAUUGGACUUUGAACAGAUCUGUGUAGGAUAGGUGGGAGGCUUUGAAGCAGGGUCGCUAGAUCUUGUGGAGCCAACGUUGAAAUACCACCCUGGUGUGUUUGAGGUUCUAACCUAGGUCCAUUAUCUGGAUCGGGGACAGUGCAUGGUAGGCAGUUUGACUGGGGCGGUCUCCUCCCAAAGUGUAACGGAGGAGUUCGAAGGUACGCUAGGUACGGUCGGACAUCGUGCUAAUAGUGCAAUGGCAUAAGCGUGCUUAACUGCGAGACUGACAAGUCGAGCAGAUGCGAAAGCAGGACAUAGUGAUCCGGUGGUUCUGUAUGGAAGGGCCAUCGCUCAACGGAUAAAAGGUACUCUGGGGAUAACAGGCUGAUACCGCCCAAGAGUUCAUAUCGACGGCGGUGUUUGGCACCUCGAUGUCGGCUCAUCUCAUCCUGGGGCUGUAGCCGGUCCCAAGGGUAUGGCUGUUCGCCAUUUAAAGAGGUACGUGAGCUGGGUUUAAAACGUCGUGAGACAGUUUGGUCCCUAUCUUCCGUGGGCGCUGCAGAUUUGAGGAAGCCUGCUCCUAGUACGAGAGGACCGGAGUGGACACACCUCUGGUGUAUCGGUUGUCACGCCAGUGGCAUUGCCGAGUAGCUAAGUGUGGAAGAGAUAACCGCUGAAAGCAUCUAAGCGGGAAACUCGUUUCAAGAUGAGAUCUGCCGGGGCCUUGAGCCCCCUGAAGAGUCGUUCAAGACCAGGACGUUGAUAGGUCGGGUGUGGAAGCGCAGUAAUGCGUUAAGCUAACCGAUACUAAUUGCUCGUGCGACUUGACCA